GUUGUCAUGACCGCAACACAACAACACAUGUCCAAAUGGAGUCUGGCUUUAUUACAAAUCUUGCAAGACUUUCUCCAAGUUUGGCCUGCCCCUUUAACAGCAGUGCAGCCCUAGUGGUGAUUAUCGGACUGUCCGAUUCCCUGGAAACUCUGCGGCGCAGCUCUCACUUUAAACCGGGAUCAUGGCGGCUCCGCUCGGGCGGGACACACUACCUGAGCACUGGUCCUACGGAGUGUGCAGGGAUGGCAGGGUAUUUUUCAUCAACGACAAAACUCGCAGCACUACUUGGCUCCAUCCCCGCACUGGUGAACCUGUCAACUCAGGACACAUGAUACGAUCAGAUUUACCGCGGGGAUGGGAAGAGGGCUUCACCGAGGAAGGCGCCAGCUACUUUAUAAA